rnacentral:rRNA from 1 species
UACGGGGGGGGCAAGCGUUGUUCGGAAUUACUGGGCGUAAAGGGCUCGUAGGCGGCCAACUAAGUCAGACGUGAAAUCCCUCGGCUCAACCGGGGAACUGCGUCUGAUACUGGAUGGCUUGAAUCCGGGAGAGGGAUGCGGAAUUCCAGGUGUAGCGGUGAAAUGCGUAGAUAUCUGGAGGAACACCGGUGGCGAAGGCGGCAUCCUGGACCGGCAUUGACGCUGAGGCGCGAAAGCCAGGGGAGCGAACGGG